GUGACGAAGCGACGCCGCGUGCGGGAGGAAGGCCUUCGGGUUGUAAACCGCUGUCGGGAGUUAAGAAAUGCAAGGAUGUUAAUAGCGUUCUUGCUUGACUAAGGCUCCGGAGGAAGCCACGGCUAACUCUGUGCCAGCAGCCGCGGUAAUACAGAGGCGGCAAGCGUUGUUCGGAAUUAUUGGGCGUAAAGAGCACGUAGGCGGCUGUGUAAGUCGGUUGUGAAAGCCUUCCGCUCAACGGAAGAACGGCAUCCGAUACUGCAUGGCUUGAGUGUGGGAGGGGAGAGUGGAACUUCUGGUGGAGCGGUGAAAUGCGUAGAUAUCAGAAGGAACACCGGCGGCGAAGGCGACUCUCUGGUCCAUAACUGACGCUGAGUGUGCGAAAGCUAGGGGAGCAAACGGGAUUAAAUACCCCGGUAGUCCUAGCCGUAAACGAU
rnacentral:rRNA from 1 species